UACGUAGGGGGCAAGCGUUGUCCGGAUUUAUUGGGCGUAAAGAGCGUGUAGGCGGCCUGAAAGGUCAGCUGUGAAAACUCGAGGCUCAACCUCGAGACGUCGGUUGAAACCAUCUGGCUAGAGUCCGGAAGAGGAGUGUGGAAUUCCCGGUGUAGCGGUGAAAUGCGCAGAUAUCGAGGAGGAACACCGGUGGCGAAGGCGGAUCGUCUGGCCGAUUACUGACGCUGAGGAGCGAAAGGCGUGGGGAGCGAACAGG
rnacentral:rRNA from 1 species